rnacentral:tRNA from 1 species
GGGGGUAGCACAGUGGUAAAGCGCAUGCUUAGCAUGCAUGAGGUCAUGGGUUUGAUCCCCGGUACCUCCA